AAACGUGUGCGCCCACCAAUAUCCGCGCUCGUUUUGCGUAUUUGUACGUGGGAAUUACCCGCGCGCGCAAUUGCUCGCGGAAGGAUCGCACGUCCGCUCGUGCGAUGAAAAAUUCACCUCGCUACAAAUGAAGCGUGCGAUGAUCCCGCUUGGUAAUUAUUCACCGGAUCCACGCGCGACUUUUCCCGGAAAUUCGACUGUUUUAACCUCGUGCAUAUAGAAGAAUUUACUCCGUAUCGCAAAACGCGGAAUCUUGUCUGAGAAAUAUUAAUUUAAGACGAGAUUAAUCGUCGAAGUAAAUCACCGGGAUCAGUACGUAAAAGCGGAUCGUGUGAUUAACCGAAGGCAGAUUUAAGGAUCAAGUAAUGAACGUUACGGGAAUAAUGCGCAUUUAUAUCUUGCGAUAAAAUCAGAUCGGCUGACUUAUAUCUGCUGCAGAUAUUACGCGAGUAUUGUAUGCGAAUAAUUAGCGCGAACGGUAUUGAGACGUAUGUAUAACGAGAAUCUCGCUUUGCUACCUGCUGUGCCUCUUUGUCCCUGACGCGCAGCGUCGCCAUCCGACGAGAUCGGCGUGCCAGCUUUUCCGGAUUAUCGGAGACGUCGUAAUUAUGCACGUGACGCUUCUCUCCUCAACAAGAGAAUAAUUUUUAUUUCACUCACAAUCAGCCUCGGCGCGCUGCGAAGAGACGAACUUGAAGAAACUAGCUGAGAUAAUAUAUUGAAUAUAUUUCUUAUGCGGAUAUACAACUGCGCAACACACUGAGAAGAUAUUAAACAGAUAUGCGAGAAAAAAUAUAAACAGUACAAAAA